UACGUAGGGUGCAAGCGUUGUCCGGAAUUAUUGGGCGUAAAGAGCUCGUAGGCGGUUUGUUGCGUCGGCUGUGAAAUCCCCGAGGCUCAACCUCGGGUUCUGCAGUCGAUACGAGCAAACUAGAGUGUUGCAGGGGAGACUGGAAUUCCUGGUGUAGCGGUGAAAUGCGCAGAUAUCAGGAGGAACACCGGUGGCGAAGGCGGGUCUCUGGGCAA
rnacentral:rRNA from 1 species